rnacentral:rRNA from 1 species
CCCUGGGGAGCCCCCGCGACUAUAAGAAGGGGCGCGCGCAGGUGGCCUUCGGGCUGCAACACGAUCGAAUUGCGGGGACGUCCUAAAGCCUGGCGGUACCAACUUGGGGGGGAAACCCCUCAAGGGCCCACGAAGCGUGGGGUGGUUAGAACCCGUCGGGAUGUCACAAUGGGCCAUUCGCAGCGGAGCCCCUACAGGCCUUGAGCCCACGGGGAACGUUCACAGACUAAGUGGUUGUGGGUUGGGGCCCUCCGGGGCCUGACCUAAGAUAUAGUCGGGCUGUCAGGGAGACCUGGCGGGGUGUUUCGCACCAAACCGUUCCGUAGGUGAACCUGCGGAAGGAUCAUUACAGAGUUCUUGCCCUCACGGGUAGACCUCCCACCCUUGCGUUAUCAUACUUUGUUGCUUUGGCAGGACGCACGCCUGUCGUGCCGCGGGCCCUCGGGCUUGCGUGUGCCUGUCAGAGAAAACCCAAACCCUUAUUUUAGUGUUGUCUGAGCGUGAUACAAUAGUUAAAACUUUCAACAACGGAUCUCUUGGUUCUGGCAUCGAUGAGAAACGCAGCGAAAUGCGAUAAGUAAUGUGAAUUGCAGAAUUCAGUGAAUCAUCGAAUCUUUGAACGCACAUUGCGCCCCUUGGUAUUCCAGGGGGCAUGCCUGUUCGAGCGUCAUUUCAACCCUCAAGCUCUGCUUGGUGUUGGGUCUCUUGCCAGCGAUGGCAGGCCCUAAAGUCAGUGGCGGCGCCGCUGAGCCCUGAGCGUAGUAACUUUCUCGCUACGGGGUCUCGGUGAGCUUCCUGCCAAACACAUCUUUCUAUGGUUGACCUCGGAUCAGGUAGGGAUACCCGCUGAACUUAAGCAUAUCAAUAAGCGGAGGAAAAGAAACCAACAGGGAUUGCCUCAGUAACGGCGAGUGAAGCGGCAAAAGCUCAAAUUUGAAAUCUGGCCCUUUCAGGGUCCGAGUUGUAAUUUGCAGAAGAUGCUUCGGGUGUGGCCCCGGUCUAAGUUCCUUGGAACAGGACGUCACAGAGGGUGAGAAUCCCGUACGUGGCCGGUGGCCUACGCCCAUGUGAAGCUCUUUCGACGAGUCGAGUUGUUUGGGAAUGCAGCUCUAAAUGGGUGGUAAAUUUCAUCUAAAGCUAAAUAUUGGCCAGAGACCGAUAGCGCACAAGUAGAGUGAUCGAAAGAUGAAAAGCACUUUGGAAAGAGAGUUAAACAGUACGUGAAAUUGUUGAAAGGGAAGCGCUUGCAACCAGACUUGCGCCUGGCGGAUCACCCCGGCUUCUGCCUGGUGCACUCCGUCAGGCUCAGGCCAGCAUCGGUUUGGGCGGCUGGAUAAAGGCCUUGGGAAUGUGACCUCUCUCGGGGGGUGUUAUAGCCCAAGGUGCCAUGCAGCCUGCCGGACCGAGGACCGCGCUC